rnacentral:rRNA from 1 species
CGGGUGAGUAAUGUAUGGGGAUCUGCCUGAUGGCGGGGGAUAACUACUGGAAACGGUAGCUAAUACCGCAUAACGUCGCAAGACCAAAGAGGGGGACCUCCGGGCCUCGCGCCAUCAGAUGAACCCAUAUGGGAUUAGCUUGUAGGUAAGGUAACGGCUUACCUAGGCGACGAUCCCUAGCUGGUCUGAGAGGAUGAUCAGCCACACUGGGACUGAGACACGGCCCAG